rnacentral:rRNA from 1 species
AGUGAACGUUGGCGGCGUGGAUUAGGCAUGCAAGUCGAGCGAGAACCGUAGCAAUACGGGGACAGCGGCGAAGGGGACAGUAAUGUGUAGGUACCUACCCCGGGGUCUGGGAUAGCUGCGGGAAACUGCAGGUAAUACCGGAUAAUGUCUUCGGACCAAAGGUGUGAUUCCACCUUGGGAGGGGCCUGCAUCCUAUUAGCUUGUUGGCGGGGUAACGGCCAACCAAGGCAACGAUGGGUAGCGGGUGUGAGAGCACGACCCGCGUCAUUGGGACUGAGAUACUGCCCAGACACCUACGGGUGGCUGCAGUCGAGGAUCUUCGGCAAUGGGCGAAAGCCUGACCGAGCGACGCCGCGUGCGGGAUGAAGGCCUUCGGGUUGUAAACCGCUGUCGUAGAGGAGGAAAUGCAGGGGGGUUCUCCCUUCUGUUUGACCUAUUCUAGGAGGAAGGACGGGCUAAGUUCGUGCCAGCAGCCGCUGUAA